UUGGGGUCCCCCUUCGGGGGCGCGCACACAGGUGCUGCAUGGCUGUCGUCAGCUCGUGUCGUGAGAUGUUGGGUUAAGUCCCGCAACGAGCGCAACCCACGUCCUUAGUUGCCAUCAUUCAGUUGGGCACUCUAGGGAGACUGCCGGUGAUAAGCCGCGAGGAAGGUGUGGAUGACGUCAAGUCCUCAUGGCCCUUACGGGAUGGGCUACACACGUGCUACAAUGGCGGUGACAGUGGGACGCGAAGGAGCGAUCUGGAGCAAAUCCCCAAAAGCCGUCUCAGUUCGGAUUGCACUCUGCAACUCGGGUGCAUGAAGGCGG
rnacentral:rRNA from 1 species